rnacentral:rRNA from 1 species
GGGCCCGCACAAGCGGUGGAGCAUGUGGUUUAAUUCGAUGAUACGCGAGGAACCUUACCAGGGCUUAAAUGGGAAAUGACAGGGGCAGAGACGCCCCCUUCUUCGGACAUUUUUCAAGGUGCUGCAUGGUUGUCGUCAGCUCGUGCCGUGAGGUGUCAGGUUAAGUCCUAUAACGAGCGCAACCCCUACCGUUAGUUGCCAGCGUGUAAUGACGGGGACUCUAACGGAACUGCCGGUGCAAACCGUGAGGAAGGUGGGGACGACGUCAAAUCAUCACGGCCCUUACGUCCUGGCCACACACGUGCUACAAUGGUAGGUACAGAGGGAAGCGAAACCGCGAGGUCAAGCGAA